GCAGAUUCCUGAUUAUCCAGAUAUUCAAAUAUUCAAUGUAUCUAGAUAAACUUCAUUCAAAGAAAGGUGGUAAACAGAAGGUAUGAUACAGGACAUUUUCUGAAGUAUAUAUAUUCAUAUUCUCAAGUUGUCAGAAAGUGGGAAAAUAUGGAUCAUUCGUAUUGUAUAAAUGACAGUGUUUUCUUUAUAUCUAUCCAGACAACUGCAAUCUUCAAGAAGAAACUACAUGACUUUUCAGCUAAAGCAAGAACAGAGGUGCCAUUUUCCAAAGGGUCAAAAGACCCAUCCAGCACUUUGAAGAUCAGAGUCAAUCUACACCCCUAUUUUCUGAUCUUCCUAUUGUUUUGUACUUUUCCCACUUGCCCACUUCCUCCAUGAAACCAAACUUAUCAUACCAAUUCUGGUUUCUUUCUGUUGAGCAUGGAUAAAACUUAACCAUCCAAUGCAAACAAGUAAACAUGUAACAGUUCAUAGUUCAUCAAACACUCGACGGAGAUUUGCUAAAACUGAACCAACAGGGAUACAGGUUUCGACAAGAACAGCCGCUAAAAUUAAGAACAAUUGGUAUCAAAG
rnacentral:lncRNA from 1 species